AUGUAUUCCAACAGGAUGGGGAUUUGGAUCAGAACAGGAGUUGCUGGGCCACCAUCUGCUAAGGAAGACGAUGUGUCGCCUGUAACUGCUACUGGAAGUUUUCUCUGGGGAAGAGGUGAGGAAGCAAGAAAAAAGGCAUUGUGUGCCUGGACAGGAGGGGUAACUCAGGGGGCUGCUGGCUGCAUGUGAGAAAAUUCCUCACCUCUGACCAACUUCAGAAUUGUUCAUCAGUGUGGUGAGUGUCCUCAUUGGGUUUUCAUCUGUGUGACUGGCAGGUUCCUUAUUAGUGGGAAUAGCAACAUGAAAGGUCCUCAAACAGGGUUGAAAUACUGACCUUACUUGCACAGGUGUGAGACCUGGGGAGGCCAUGUACCGCGGGCCCCCUUAGGGAUGGGCUUCAGACUUGACCCCUCACCAUUCUGGGGUCCAGCCACUACUUUGGGUUUUCUGGAGGCCCAGUGCUAACUCUGAGGUCUCCAUAGUCUAGCCUCUACCUGCCUUUAGUGAGACCCACACUUCCGGUAUCCUGCAGAGGAGGGUCUGUGUGGCUCUUCUGCUGCUUCUCUAAAUAAAUGACCACAAGCUGGGUGGUUUAAAACA
rnacentral:lncRNA from 1 species